rnacentral:rRNA from 1 species
UACGUAGGGCGCAAGCGUAUCCGGAAUUAUUGGGCGUAAAGAGCUCGUAGGCGGUUCGAUAAGUCGGACGUGAAAUCUCCACGCUCAACGUGGAGGGGCCGUUCGAUACUGUCGUGACUCGAGUCCGGUAGGGGAGUGUGGAAUUCCCGGUGUAGCGGUGAAAUGCGUAGAUAUCUGGAGGAAUACCGGUGGCGAAGGCGGCAUCCUGGACCGAGAUUGACGCUGAGGAGCGAAAGCUAGGGGAGCAAACGGG